rnacentral:rRNA from 1 species
AGUGAACGCUGGCGGUAGGCCUAACACAUGCAAGUCGAACGGCAGCACAGUAGGAGCUUGCUCUUACGGGUAGCGAGUGGCGGACGGGUGAGGAAUACAUCGGAAUCUACUUUUUCGUGGGGGAUAACGUAGGGAAACUUACGCUAAUACCGCAUACGACCUACGGGUGAAAGCAGGGGAUCUUCGGACCUUGCGCGAUUGAAUGAGCCGAUGUCGGAUUAGCUAGUUGGCGGGGUAAAGGCCCACCAAGGCGACGAUCCGUAGCUGGUCUGAGAGGAUGAUCAGCCACACUGGAACUGAGACACGGUCCAGACUCCUACGGGAGGCAGCAGUGGGGAAUAUUGGACAAUGGGCGCAAGCCUGAUCCAGCCAUACCGCGUGGGUGAAGAAGGCCUUCGGGUUGUAAAGCCCUUUUGUUGGGAAAGAAAAGCAGCAGGUUAAUACCCCGCUGUUCUGACGGUACCCAAAGAAUAAGCACCGGCUAACUUCGUG